UCCCUCUCAAAGCCUGCGUCUCUUACUCUUCUUCUUCCAUAUCCUAUAUACUAAUCUCUUUCGUACAUAUCAAGCCCAUCAUCUCCAACACCAUCAUUGCAUAGAUCUCACACCUCAACAUACCUUUAACUUAUUGGGCUUUCUACACAUGGAAGGUAAGUAUUUUACACUUGUUUUGGUGUGUGGUGCUAAUUUAUGCAAUAUUACACUUGGUGAUUGGAUGAAGUAUGAAAUUUUUUAUACUUCUUUUGAUAGAUUUUGGUGGUUUGAUACUUUGAGAUGUUGAAUUUAUGUUUGGGAUUAAGUUUGGGGAAAUUUUAGAUUUGCAUUGUGAAAGGAGUGCGAGGUGUUUAUUGAAAAACUUUACAUCCUUUAGUGACUUAAUUGAUAAUUUUGCCUACUUAUUUGAGGAAUUUGCAAUACAUUAUUGUGGGAUUGAGUAGUUAGUAGUGACUUGAUUUGUUGAGGGAAUUGGUGUUUGGAACAUUCAUUAUAUUAUGUGAAGUUUGUAGUGGUUUUUAGGACAUUAUUGGGUUUGCUUAUGGUGGAUAUACUUGAUUGACAUUGUCGCUUUUCGGAGUGCACAAUGCCAUAUACAAAGAAAUCGAAAUCUUCGACCUCUUCUAAAGCUCCUUUGAUAGCAGUAAAUUUGUGGGUGAGAAGCAAAGAAUCGAUAUAAUGACAUUGUAGUUCACAAAAAUUAUAUUCCAGAACGAAGUUUUGACAACCUUGAGCUUUAUAUAAUGGAACAGAUUAAGGGUAGGCAUUGGAAGUUUUUUACAGAGCAACCAUAGUCAGGGUUAGUACCAAUGGUGCAUGAAUUUUUCGCAAAUGUUAAGGACCGCAAGGAUUUAAAGGUUUAUGUUAGAGGAAAGUGGAUCUGUUUUGACAAACCUUCGAUCAAUGAAUUCCGUGGAUUGCUAGAUAUUGAUAAAGAUGAGUUCUUCAGAAUGCGUGAAGAGGGGCAAUCUUUCCGACAGACAUAAAUCGAGAGUUAGCCUCAUCCGGGCAUCACAUGGAAACGAUUCAGCACCGAUGCCACCAAUUUUCUGGCCGUGGGCAUGUUUCUAGAAUGCAAAGCAUGGCAUUAUUUUAUAUGUGCUAAACUUUUGCCGGCAACAAUAUUCAUUUUUGGUUUUAUGAGUUUUGGUGUAAUAUUUUUUGCUUAUUUUAUUCACCAGGACUCAAUAAUUAUUUUUACAAUAGAGUCAAUUUAGUUAAACAUUGAAUCAGGUUUCUUAUUGAAUAAUUCUAUGUAGCACUAUAGGAUAUAUGAGG
rnacentral:lncRNA from 1 species